rnacentral:rRNA from 1 species
GACGAACGCUGGCGGCGUGCCUAAUACAUGCAAGUAGAACGCUGAAGGCGGAGCUUGCUUCUCUGGAUGAGUUGCGAACGGGUGAGUAACGCGUAGGUAACCUGCCUGGUAGCGGGGGAUAACUAUUGGAAACGAUAGCUAAUACCGCAUAAGAGUAGAUGUCGCAUGACAUUUGCUUAAAAGGUGCAAUUGCAUCACUACCAGAUGGACCUGCGUUGUAUUAGCUAGUUGGUGAGGUAACGGCUCACCAAGGCAACGAUACAUAGCCGACCUGAGAGGGUGAUCGGCCACACUGGGACUGAGACACGGCCCAGACUCCUACGGGAGGCAGCAGUAGGGAAUCUUCGGCAAUGGACGGAAGUCUGACCGAGCAACGCCGCGUGAGUGAAGAAGGUUUUCGGAUCGUAAAGCUCUGUUGUAAGAGAAGAACGAGUGUGAGAGUGGAAAGUUCACACUGUGACGGUAUCUUACCAGAAAGGGACGGCUAACUACGUG